rnacentral:pre_miRNA from 1 species
UCGACUCUUUGUCUUAUUUGAAUUUUUUUGUGAUUAAUAUUUUUAUUGUUAUUAGACGAUAAAAUAUGAAUAGUAUUUUAUGUGUGACUAAUUUUUUUAGUUUUUUAUAAUUUUUUUUAAAUAAGACAAAUGGUCGA